rnacentral:sRNA from 1 species
AUUUCCCAUCGUGCUGAGGCGGGUGGCAUGGCGGAGAAGGAUGACACCGGAGUUUGACGAAGAGGUGGUUUUUGAGAAUUCUCCACUUUACCAAUACUUACAGGAUCUGGGACACACAGACUUUGAAAUAUGUUCUUCUUUGUCACCAAAAACAGAAAAAUGCACAACAGAGGGACAACAAAAGCCUCCUACAAGAGUCCUACCAAAACAAGGUAUCCUGUUAAAAGUGGCUGAAACCAUCAAAAGUUGGAUUUUUUUUUCUCAGUGCAAUAAGAAAGAUGACUUACUUCACAAGCUGGAUAUUGGAUUCCGACUCGACUCAUUACAUACCAUCCUGCAACAGGAAGUCCUGUUACAAGAGGAUGUGGAGCUGAUUGAGCUACUUGAUCCCAGUAUCCUGUCUGCAGGGCAAUCUCAACAACAGGAAAAUGGACACCUUCCAACACUUUGCUCCCUGGCAACCCCUAAUAUUUGGGAUCUCUCAAUGCUAUUUGCCUUCAUUAGCUUGCUCGUUAUGCUUCCCACUUGGUGGAUUGUGUCUUCCUGGCUGGUAUGGGGAGUGAUUCUAUUUGUGUAUCUGGUCAUAAGAGCUUUGAGAUUAUGGAGGACAGCCAAACUACAAGUGACCCUAAAAAAAUACAGUGUUCAUUUGGAAGAUAUGGCCACAAACAGCCGAGCUUUUACUAACCUCGUGAGAAAAGCUUUACGUCUCAUUCAAGAAACCGAAGUGAUUUCCAGAGGAUUUACACUUUUGCUUGACAGGGUCAGUGCUGCUUGCCCAUUUAAUAAAGCUGGACAGCAUCCAAGUCAGCAUCUCAUCGGUCUUCGGAAAGCUGUCUACCGAACUCUAAGAGCCAACUUCCAAGCAGCAAGGCUAGCUACCCUAUAUAUGCUGAAAAACUACCCCCUGAACUCUGAGAGUGACAAUGUAACCAACUAUAUCUGUGUGGUGCCUUUUAAAGAGCUGGGCCUUGGACUUAGUGAAGAGCAGAUUUCAGAAGAGGAAGCACAUAACUUUACAGAUGGCUUCAGCCUGCCUGCAUUGAAGGUUUUGUUCCAACUCUGGGUGGCACAGAGUUCAGAGUUCUUCAGACGGUUAGCCCUAUUACUUUCUACAACCAAUUCACCUCCUGGGCCCUUACUUACUCCAGCACUUCUGCCUCAUCGUAUCUUAUCUGAUGUGACUCAAGGUCUACCUCAUGCUCAUUCUGCCUGUUUGGAAGAGCUUAAGCGCAGCUAUGAGUUCUAUAGAUACUUUGAAACUCAGCACCAGUCAGUACCGCAGUGUUUAUCCAAAACUCAACAGAAGUCAAGAGAACUGAAUAAUGUUCACACAGCAGUGCGUAGCUUGCAGCUCCAUCUGAAAGCAUUACUGAAUGAGGUAAUAAUUCUUGAAGAUGAACUCGAAAAGCUUGUUUGUACUAAAGAAACACAAGAACUAGUGUCAGAGGCUUAUCCCAUCCUAGAACAGAAAUUAAAGUUGAUUCAGCCCCACGUUCAAGCAAGCAACAAUUGCUGGGAAGAGGCCAUUUCUCAGGUCGACAAACUGCUACGAAGAAAUACAGAUAAAAAAGUACUUAUAGAGUACCUGGUUUGUACCAGAUACUGUGGUGAGGCGAAGAGAGAAGGGCAGGUCCUCUUCUCUAAGAGUUUAAAGAUUUAAAGUUAAGUUGUAAAUCUACUAAUUUAUUGUUUUUCAUUUUAAUGUCUUUAUUUUUUUACAAAUAAAAAGUUAUUAGAACAAGUUGGACUAUGAAAUUGACAAAGUAUUAGUACCAAGGAUUUUUUUGGUUGGAGGAGACAGGAUCUAGCUGUGUUGCCCAGGCUGGAGUGCAGUGGUGUGGUCACUGCUCACUGUAGCCUUGACCUCCCCAGCUCAAGCGAUCCUCCCACCUCAGCCUCCCAAGUAGCUGGGACUACAGGUGUGCACCACCAUGCCCAGCUGAUUUUUAUUUUAGUUUUUGUAGCGACAGAGUCUUACUUUGUUUCCAGGCUGGUGUUGAACUCCUGGGCUCAAGCGAUCCUCCCGCCUCAGCCUCCCAGAGUGCUGGGAUGACAGGCAUGAGCCACCACACCUGG